UAAAGUAGGCGAUCUUAAAACAUGUUUUGAAGUGGGAUAAUGACGGUUUUAUCAAGUGUUGAACUUCUGUAAAGUUCAUGUGUACCUUUGUUCACUUGAGAAUCAAACAUCUGAAUAGUGACUGGAAUGAAAAAAAUAGCUAAAUGGAAUAGCUUCGAAGUUUUACAAUAAAGAGAGAGUUACAUAAGCAGAAGUUCAUUUCUUGGUAGGUAUGGAACCGAAAAAGCCCCGCACAUUUCGGUCUUGGUAGCUUCAAGUUACACGCUAGGAUCAAGUAAGAGUCUCUUGAUUGGCGGGAGCAAUUAAAACCUGAAUCCAUGCGAGGGCCUGGCUGGUAAGCACUUCAGUUCUGCAGAUGAUAGUUUUGUUUGUUUGAAAUUGAACAGUUUUUAUGGAGGUGGAAGAUUUAAUCUGUUGCACAGAAAGUUCAUGAGAGAUAUUGUAAGUUAAUUCAUUCUGGUGCUCUGUUGAUUCUAUCCGAUAUAAUUGUACGAUUACAAUCGGACAUUUGAGACAAAAUAUAAGGGAAGCUGGGGCAAGACGGAGUGGACCUUUUUCUUACCAGUCAGGUGCUGUACUCUGUUGACAACCUUCGUAACUAUCUUGAAGGAGAAGGGCAAGACAAGACUACAAACAAACCGGCAGCCAUCUUGAGUCACGUCUUUGUUGCCAGUGGAUUAAAACGUAUUUCUAAAAUAGUACAUAACGACCAGAGAAAAACGCUCAUGUGAUGGUGACGAAGAUGACGACGAGGUUCAUCAUAUUUGCGAAUUUUGUAAAUACAAUUUUUCAACCAAUAUCAAAUUAUAUGUUUUUAUUUGUGUAACAUUACAUAAGUUGAUUUCGAAAAACAA
rnacentral:lncRNA from 1 species